rnacentral:rRNA from 1 species
GGUGAGUAACACGUGGGUGAUCUGCCCUGCACUUCGGGAUAAGCCUGGGAAACUGGGUCUAAUACCGGAUAGGAGCCAUUUUUAGUGUGAUGGUUGGAAAGUUUUUCGGUGUAGGAUGAGCACGCGGCCUAUCAGCUUGUUGGUGGGGUAAUGGCCUACCAAGGCGGCGACGGGUAGCCGGCCUGAGAGGGUGGACGGCCACAUUGGGACUGAGAUACGGCCCAG